rnacentral:rRNA from 1 species
AUUGAACGCUGGCGGCAGGCCUUACACAUGCAAGUCGAACGAGUGGCGGACGGGUGAGUAAUGUCUGGGAACGUGCCCGAUGGCGGGGGAUAACUACUGGAAACGGUAGCUAAUACCGCAUACCAUCUGAUGUGCCCAGAUGGGAUUAGCUAGUUGGUGGGGUAAAGGCUCACCAAGGCGACGAUCCCUAGCUGGUUUGAGAGGAGGACCAGCCACACUGGGACUGAGACACGGUCCAGACUCCUACGGGAGGCAGCAGUGGGGAAUUUUGGACAAUGGGGGCAACCCUGAUCCAGCCAUGCCGCGUGUAUGAUGAAGGCCUUCGGGUUGUAAAGUACUUUCAGCAGGGAGGCGUUAUCUGCAGAAGAAGCACCGGCUAACUCCGUGCCAGCAGCCGCGGUAAUAC